GGGACCUGAUACAGAAAAAUGGAAAUACCUCUCCCAUGUCUCCCAUAUCUUUGGUUCUGAAAUACUAAAAUAAAUAAAUGCUUUUUUUUUUUUUUUUUUUUAAAUCACAGAGUCAAGUCUAAGUGAUUCAUGCAAAAUAACAGUAACAAAUUGCUAGACUACAGGAGGCAAGUAUUGGGCUCCAGAGAGAAAGAUCUGUAAGAGGCUGGGAGAUGAUCAGAAGUAGCCCAUGGAUCCUGGGAGGCUUGCAGACCACAAACUGAAGAUGACUGUGCUAUGGGGAACGUCAUCGUUGAUUGAAUUCAAGUGAUUAAAGCAUCAGAGAAGUUCUGGUUAGUCCUUCAACUACUCAGAGAACAUGAAAGGGUACUGGUCUGUGGAAUUCAAGUGUGAGAUUUGGCAGGACUCAGAUGUCAAAGACAAAAAUGGGGACAGGGUGAAGGCUGACGGGCCAGGUCAGCAGUGCUGGUGUGCUCUGGCAAACAGUUUGGUGCAGCAGGAAUGGAGUUGUACAGCAAAGCAGAAGGGCUGAAGACCCAAUAUUUAUACUACUUGAACAGAGAAUUGGAGUAGCCCAAUUACAGAUGGUUUGGGGACAAUAAUAACACUAAUUCUUCUUCGUUUGAAUUGCUCUUCAGUAACAGAAAUGACUGAAAUAUUUCCUGAUGGAAAGAGGACUAUGCAGAAAGUCAGCAGGGUGGUCAUUCAACUAGUGUGCUGCUCAGAAAGCUGCUCAGCUCCCCAGGUCUGGGGCUUCCCAUUGUUGAACUACUUAAAUUUCUUACCAGGGA
rnacentral:lncRNA from 1 species